GGGGUGAAAUGCUGGCACUGCUUUUACAUAUAGAUCCUUGGUUAUGUUGAGGAAUUUCCCUUCUCGUCCUAUUUUUAUCAAGAAUUGAUGUUGAUUGUAAUCUUGAUGAUGCUGGAUGG
rnacentral:miRNA from 1 species